rnacentral:snRNA from 1 species
AUCUUAGCCAAAAGGCCGAGAA